rnacentral:tRNA from 1 species
UCCCUCGUAGCUCAGUGGGUAAAGAACCUGCCUGCAAUGCAGGAGACCCAGGUUUGAUUCCUGGGCUGGGAA